CACAUCGUGAAAAUUAAAAAAUUUAAUUUUUCCUUUGAAAAACCCCCAAAUUAAUUUUUGAAAUUAAAAUUCAUUAUUCAUUUUUGAAUAUUCAUUGAAAAAACAUCGAAGAUGACUACCAUUGAGAAGAUUGUCCGCAACUCGAAGGACGCCAUGGCGUAUUCGGUUCAUGGCAAGAAUGAAGAGUCGAUUUUCAAAAUUCCAAUGGGAGAAUUGAAGAAAAUCUUUGGCCGUGCACUGCACAUAGAGUCCAACCGCAAUGGGCUGUAUGUUGUGGUACAAAAAAGUUCCAAUGAACAACAGUUUCUGGAAGCAUUGCAGGAGAUUAAGGUCGGCAACAUUGUCCUGCCAGUGGAGGUCAAGCCCGCAAACCACAUCAACUACUCGGAAGGCAUCAUCAUUGCUCCGGAGUUGGAGGCGGUAACCGCUCAGGAGUUCUUAGGUAAAAAUUUACGUCUCUUCGUCUUUUUUAUUAUAAACUUAAUGUUAACUUUGCUGUUCCUGUUGAUAAAUCUGUAAAGAGUUAUUUUUUUAUUAUU